UGGGGAAUUUUGGACAAUGGGCGAAAGCCUGAUCCAGCAAUGCCGCGUGUGUGAAGAAGGCCUUCGGGUUGUAAAGCACUUUUGUCCGGAAAGAAAUCCUUGGCUCUAAUACAGUCGGGGGAUGACGGUACCGGAAGAAUAAGCACCGGCUAACUACGUGCCAGCAGCCGCGGUAAUACGUAGGGUGCAAGCGUUAAUCGGAAUUACUGGGCGUAAAGCGUGCGCAGGCGGUUUGCUAAGACCGAUGUGAAAUCCCCGGGCUCAACCUGGGAACUGCAUUGGUGACUGGCAGGCUAGAGUAUGGCAGAGGGGGGUAGAAUUCCACGUGUAGCAGUGAAAUGCGUAGAGAUGUGGAGGAAUACUGAUGGCGAAGGCAGCCCCCUGGGCCAAUACUGACGCUCAUGCACGAAAGCGUGGGGAGCAAACAGGAUUAGAUACCCUGGUAGUCCACGCCCUAAACGAUGUCAACUAGUUGUUGGGGAUUCAUUUCCUUAGUAACGUAGCUAACGCGUGAAGUUGACCGCCUGGGGA
rnacentral:rRNA from 1 species